AUUGAACGCUGGCGGCAUGCUUUACACAUGCAAGUCGAACGGUAACAGGUUAAGCUGACGAGUGGCGAACGGGUGAGUAAUGCAUCGGAACGUGCCCGAUCGUGGGGGAUAACGCAGCGAAAGCUGCGCUAAUACCGCAUACGAUCUGAGGAUGAAAGCGGGGGACCGUAAGGCCUCGCGCGAUCGGAGCGGCCGAUGUCAGAUUAGGUAGUUGGUGGGGUAAAGGCCCACCAAGCCGACGAUCUGUAGCUGGUCUGAGAGGACGACCAGUCACACUGGGACUGAGACACGGCCCAGACUCCUACGGGAGGCAGCAGUGGGGAAUUUUGGACAAUGGGCGAAAGCCUGAUCCAGCAAUGCCGCGUGCAGGAAGAAGGCCUUCGGGUUGUAAACUGCUUUUGUACGGAGCGGAAAGGUCCUUUCUAAUACAAGGGGCUCAUGACGGUACCGUAAGAAUAAGCACCGGCUAACUACGUGCCAGCCGCCGCCGUAAAAC
rnacentral:rRNA from 1 species